GGGGCCAUAGCUCAGCUGGGAGAGCGCUACAAUGGCAUUGUAGAGGUCGCCGGUUCGAUCCCGGCUGGCUCCA
rfam:Methylothermaceae bacteria B42 Contig38, whole genome shotgun sequence.